rnacentral:tRNA from 1 species
AGGUCUGUCGCCAAGCGGUAAGGCAACGGGUUUUGAUCCCGUCAUCCCAAGGUUCGAAUCCUAGCAGACCUGCCA